rnacentral:rRNA from 1 species
AGUCGAGCGCAUCCUUCGGGAUGAGCGGUGGACGGGUGAGUAACGCGUGGGAAUGUGCCCUUCUCUACGGAAUAGCCACUGGAAACGGUGAGUAAUACCGUAUACGCCCUAAGGGGGAAAGAUUUAUCGGAGAAGGAUCAGCCCGCGUUAGAUUAGGUAGUUGGUGGGGUAACGGCCUACCAAGCCUACGAUCUAUAGCUGGUUUUAGAGGAUGAUCAGCCACACUGGGACUGAGACACGGCCCAGACUCCUACGGGAGGCAGCAGUAGGGAAUCUUGGACAAUGGGGGCAACCCUGAUCCAGCCAUGCCGCGUGAGUGAAGAAGGCCCUAGGGUCGUAAAGCUCUUUCGCCUGUGAUGAUAAUGACAGUAGCAGGUAAAGAAACCCCGGCUAACUCCGUGCCAGCAGCCGCGGUAAUACGGAGGGGGUUAGCGUUGUUCGGAAUUACUGGGCGUAAAGCGCGCGUAGGCGGAUCGGAAAGUUGGGGGUGAAAUCCCGGGGCUCAACCCCCGGAACUGCCUUUCAAAACUCCCA